UACAGAGGGGGCAAGCGUUAUUCGGAAUUAUUGGGCGUAAAGAGCUCGUAGGCGGUGUGUCGCGUCGGCCGUGAAAACCUGCAGCUUAACUGUGGGCUUGCGGUCGAUACGGGCAUCACUGGAGUUCGGCAGGGGAGACUGGAAUUCCUGGUGUAGCGGUGAAAUGCGCAGAUAUCAGGAGGAACACCGGUGGCGAAGGCGGGUCUCUGGGCCGAUACUGACACUGAGACACGAAGGCCAGGGGAGCAAACGGG
rnacentral:rRNA from 1 species